rnacentral:rRNA from 1 species
UCCUACGGGAGGCAGCAGUAGGGAAUCUUCGGCAAUGGACGGAAGUCUGACCGAGCAACGCCGCGUGAGUGAAGAAGGUUUUCGGAUCGUAAAGCUCUGUUGUAAGAGAAGAACGAGUGUGAGAGUGGAAAGUUCACACUGUGACGGUAUCUUACCAGAAAGGGACGGCUAACUACGUGCCAGCAGCCGCGGUAAUACGUAGGUCCCGAGCGUUGUCCGGAUUUAUUGGGCGUAAAGCGAGCGCAGGCGGUUAGAUAAGUCUGAAGUUAAAGGCUGUGGCUUAACCAUAGUAGGCUUUGGAAACUGUUUAACUUGAGUGCAAGAGGGGAGAGUGGAAUUCCAUGUGUAGCGGUGAAAUGCGUAGAUAUAUGGAGGAACACCGGUGGCGAAAGCGGCUCUCUGGCUUGUAACUGACGCUGAGGCUCGAAAGCGUGAGGAGCAAACAGGAUUAGAUACCCUGGUAGUCCACGCUGUAAACGAUGAGUGCUAG